rnacentral:rRNA from 1 species
UACGUAGCAGCGAGCGUUGUUCGGAAUUACUGGGCGUAAAGAGUGUGUAGGCGGUGCUCUAAGUUCGGUGUGAAAUCUCCUGCUUAACUGGGAGGGUGCGCCGGAAACUGGAGUGCUUGAGCGUGGGAGAGGAAAGCGGAAUUCCUGGUGUAGCGGUGAAAUGCGUAGAUAUCAGGAGGAACACCUGUGGUGUAGACGGCUUUCUGGACCAUUGCUGACGCUGAGACACGAAAGCGUGGGUAGCAAACAGG